AGUUGGUGGAGUGAUUUGUCUGGUUAAUUCCGUUAACGAACGAGACCUUAACCUGCUAAAUAGUUACGCGAGCCUUCCACACCGCUGGUCAUAUGGGGGAAACUUCAUGCGGCCAGUGGGAACGGCUCUGCGGCCAACUUCUUAGAGGGACUAUUCGUAUCUAGCGAAUGGAAGUUUGAGGCAAUAACAGGU
rnacentral:rRNA from 1 species